rnacentral:rRNA from 1 species
AUGGAGACGUUGGUGAAGAUGAUGGAGGUGUUGGUGAAGAUCGCGGUGAUGAUGAUGGCCCCCGGCGGCGUUCCGGCGCCACCGGAAGCAAGGGGGAGAGAGCCCCCCUUCUUCUUCUUCUUCCUUGACCUUCUCCCUAGAUGGGAGAAGGAUUUCCCCUCUGGUCCUUGGCUCCCAUGGCGUGGGAGGGGUGAGAGCCCCUCCGAGAUUGGAUCUAUCUCUCUGUUUCCGCGUUCCCAGAUUCUACCCCUUCACCGUUUCUUUUAUAUCUGGAGAUCCGUAACUCCGAUUGGGGUGAAUCUUUCGCCCAGAUUUUUCUCGUAA